rnacentral:lncRNA from 1 species
AGUUCCGGGAUUGCGUUCCGGGGCACAAGGUGUUAAACUGUGGGUGGGAGUGGGGUCCGGAGUCCCUCCUCCUUCCCUCCCUCACAGCGUCACCACCACCGAGUCCACCAGGCUGGCACUCAAGGAGUUAAGUCUGCCCGCAAUCUGCAAGACUGGAGCCGCCUGCUCAGUUUUUCCAAACCCUCCAGUCGGGGAAGGCGGGAGCCCUGUCAGGAUAAGAGGGCAGGUGCCAGGCCCUGGGGCAGGCUUCGAGGAGGGGGCAAAGUGUUCCGAGCGCUGGCACGGUUCUGUCCAGCAAGUCUAUUAUAUAAUAAUCACCAUCUAUCAGGAAGCCAGGCAGCUGGAGUGAGUGGGGAAGCCAGGAUGCCCGGAUCGGCUCUUCCUCCAGGGCCCAGGACGGUGUCGCCACCAA